UACGGGGGGGGCAAGCGUUGUUCGGAAUUACUGGGCGUAAAGGGCGCGUAGGCGGUUGGGUAAGUCAGCUGUGAAAACCACGGGUUUAACUCGUGGCCUGCAGUUGAGACUGUCUGGCUUGAGUGUGGGAGAGGAGAGUGGAAUUCCUGGUGUAGCGGUGAAAUGCGUAGAUAUCAGGAGGAACACCGGUGGCGAAGGCGGCUCUCUGGACCACAACUGACGCUGAGGCGCGAAAGCUAGGGGAGCAAACAGG
rnacentral:rRNA from 1 species